rnacentral:rRNA from 1 species
GACGAACCGUCCAAACGUUAUUCGGAAUCACUGGGCUUACAGAGUUCGUAGGCGGUCUGGAAAGUUGGGUGUGAAAUCCCUCGGCUCAACCGAGGAACUGCGCUUGAAACUACCAGACUCGAGGGAGAUAGAGGAAAGCGGAACUGAUGGUGGAGCGGUGAAAUGCGUAGAUAUGUGGAGGAACACCGAUGGCGAAGGCAGCCCCUGGGUCAAGAUUGACGCUCAGCACGAAAGCGUGGGAGCAAACAGG